CGUGUAGGCGGCUGAGCAAGUCAGAUGUGAAAUCCCUGGGCUUAACCCAGGAAGUGCAUUUGAAACUGUUCAGCUUGAGUAAGGAAGAGGGAAGUGGAAUUCCUGGUGUAGAGGUGAAAUUCGUAGAUAUCAGGAGGAACACCGGUGGCGAAGGCGACUUCCUGGUCCUAUACUGACGCUGAGACGCGAGAGCGUGGGGAGCAAACA
rnacentral:rRNA from 1 species